GUAAUUUCCUUUUCCAGGAAGACACCACACAAAGAUAGUAAAUAAAGAAAAACUUUUAUACAUAUCAAGAUAUUUUAUUAAGUAGAACUGAAGUAAACAGACACUCCCACAUUAAUAGGAAAUAACAGUACCCAUCUUUUUAUUUGAAUAAGCAUAACACAAAAGAGUAAUAUUAUUUGCACUUAACCAGUUUGGUCAGUGUUUCUCCCGUAUUGAGGGACAGCAAGAAGAUCGAGAUUGACGUCAUUCGCAACGUUAUCAUCAACAAUACUGGCCAAAUUCCAUGGCCGACCCUCCAAACAAUCGUCGUUACCUGUAAAUUUUAUAUUAAAAAUAUAUUAACAAAUGCACGUAUUAAAAUAAGAAUUAUGAAUGAUAUUCAAAUGAAAGUAAAGCUGGCCUAAAAAACCUGCGCAGGUUGUUUCCAUAAUCUUCAUAUCUGAAAAGAUCUCUGCUUCCGGAAUCAAAACUCGAGAGUAAUUCAGAUGCUUUUGCGAGUUCUUGCUUCUGGUUUGAUAUAGCAUACAUGCAUGUAUAUAUAGAUGGGUAAUGCAGUUGCCGACAGUGAGGUUGGUGCAUUGUGUGGACGUGGUUAAACUAAUAGGCAAUAUCAAUAAUUGUCUUCUCUUUCCAAAAAAUAAAUAAAUAAAUUUGGAAAAUGUGGCCAGAACCGCCAAAGCGCGGUGGUUUUUCAUUUUUCUAAAAUAUUUUUUAAUGGCUAACACAAAUCAUUCAAGAUCUGCAUCAAAAGCAACAAACCACGAGCUGCACGUGGUCUGUCUAUAUAUAAAAAAGAAAAAAAAAUCCCCUGUGAUACGUUUAACCAAACAAACACUUACACACAACAACAGUACCCAUCGGUGAAAUCCACUGUUGUUGCUGUGUGUGCGCGCUAAACAUAACUUAACACUGGCCUUAAAAAAAACAUCAAAAUUAACAAGAUUACAUUUAUCUACAUUAUUAAGAUGUGAUGCGUUUUUAUUAUUUUUUAAAUGGUAUGUUUUUGAAUUUACUUUGUAGGAUAAGAAUGUUUUAUUUUUUAUGAAUUUAAAAAUAUAUUUGAUUGAUUGUUUUAAAAUUAUGAUUUAGCUACUUUGCAACAGUUGCAAGGUGCCACAACUUUUGUCUUUUUAUGUGGUAAAUUUCAUUUGACUCCUUGCUUUCCUUCUUAUUUUUAAUUUAUUUUUAAUUUAUUUUUAAUUAUAAUUUUAUUUUCCUCUCUCAUUCUUUCCCUCCACUCCAUAGGUGGCCCAAUUUUUUCCUUAUUAUUAUUAUUAUUUGCUUAAUGAUUAUUUUAAUUAAAAUAAUCUAAUGAAUAAAAAAAUAUAAACCUUAAGCUAUUAAUAAUUAGCCUAAAGAAGUACAAAAGCAAGCAUUGAGUUUGGGCUUUAGCCAAAUUUUGGAAAUUUUUUUUAACAUUUUAAUUAAAUUAGAAAAUUAAAACAAUUUGAUAUAAUUAGAAUUUCAUCGGGAUCCCGAUUGAAGUUCUGACUAAUCCCCGAGUUUUAAUGAGAAUAAAUUUAAUCUCAAAUUCUUUUUUUUUUUAAUUCUUUUUAAGUCAUAUACCGUAUCAUGUACCAUUUGGAAUGGGAUUUGGGAUUCCGAUUGGGAUUCGAUUUUUUCUACCAACUUUAAUUGGCAAAAGAGUUUUAAUUAGCUGUUUGAGAAUGUUAUAUUAAUUAACAAAGUUAUAAUAAUUUACGAUUGUUAUAAUAAUCUACGAUAGUAAAGCUCCUAUUAUUUAGCUUAUUUGGGUGUAUAAGCUUAUUGAAUUAAUUCAUACCAAUAUAAUUUGAUUAGAAUCGAAGUAUCAUAAUUAUGAAUUUUAUUCUUCUACUCUUUUGCAAAUGUUAAUAUGUUAAACAUAUUCUUAUUAUUUUGAAUAUUAAACACUGACAUACUAAUAUCAUAAAAAAAUAGUAGUAAUUGGGAAAUUUCACUAUAAUUUGGGUUGAAACUUAAAUUAAUAAUCUGGAAUUACAUUUUUUUUUAAUUUUACGUUAAAGUUCUACCCUCCAUGUACUAAACCAAAUUAAUGGCUUAAGCUAAUGAAAAGAAUAAUUGGUUAAUGUUUUUCUAACUUGAACUGACGAUAUCUAUUAUUUCAUUCCAUGAUUAUUUUUUUUUAAUUACUUUCGAUUCCAGUUCGUGAUACAUGAGAUGGAUGAGAUAAAGAAAUUGGGAAUGAUUUUUGAAUUAAUUUUUAAUAUUUUAAUUUUAUUCAAAAAUUAAAUUUACUAAUUUUUUAUUUAUUUUGUAUUUUUAACAAUGAAAAUGUUAAUGAAAUUUCUCCUAAUUUUAAUUGUCUAAUUAUUUACAAUUUUGAGACAAUUUGGACUUAUGCAUUAAAAUUUGUAACUCUUUAAUGUUUUUGAAUUUUUAAAAAUAUAGGGAUUAUAACGUUAAUUACCAAAUAAACACAUCCUUGCCAUGGAUGCUACUUUUCCAUUAAAUCUGACAGUGAGAGUGAGGAGCUGAAGUCACAAAAACACAAAAAUCCUGGUAUGUUGCAACUGUUGCAACAUAAGCGAGUCCUUAAAAUUAUAUAUAAAAAUAAAAAAUAGUAAAGAUGUAUUUAGUUGUUUAUUUGAAAAUUUAGUGACAAUAACAGAGAAUGACAAUAUAAUUUAAUGAAACCUUUUUCAAUUUCUAACUAUUUUGGAUGGUCUUUCAUUAUUAUUAUUAUAGAUGUUAAUUUUAACAAACAACAUAAACAACUAAAUAGUUAUAAAAGGGCAUAAUUUAUAAUAUAGAUUUCUAUCAUUUAAAAACUUAUUUAAUUAUAUUAUUGGAUAAUUUAUACUCAUAAAUUAUAGAUGAUAUAUAAUUAUAGUAAUUUGAAAUUUGUUAAAACACAAAUUAUUGUUAGUAAAGAAUUAAAAUAAUAUGGGCGUAGUAUUUUUUAAAAUUUAUUAGCAUAUUAUAAAAAAAAAGUUAAAUUAUAAUAUUAACAACGUGAGUGGAUUGUGAGACCCAUGCAGUAUUGUUGACAAAUAAAGCAUGAACGUCACAAUGUUAGUGGGCCCAAAAAAAAAAAAAUAUUAAAAUGUUAAAAUGUUGUUUUUUACUUUUCUUUGUUAAAGUGAAAAAUAAAAUGAUUUAAUUUUUGUUGGAAAUUGAAAACUGAUCUUAUUUGGUUAGGACGCAUUUUUUUAUUUUGUGUUUUUAUAAAAUGAAAAAUAAAAAAUGUAAAAUGAUACCAAAUGUACCUUAAAUUUCACAUGAUUUUCGUAUGAGGUGUCGCAAUCAAAAACCGGUAUAUAAGAGAAAAUAAUGCGAAUGAAGUUAAUAAUUUCAUAUCAUCUAAUCUUGACCCUCCAUUAACUCAUCUUUAAUCUAGUAGUUAAAAAAUUAUGGUUAGAAAAUUAUAUCUAAACUUGUGUUUAAAAUUAUAUCUCUUGAACCAUUAUUCUUUCUGUUUUAAAAACAAGAAAAUUCAUGUCAGCUUACUUUAAACCCUUAGAUUGGUGAAUCGGGAUCAAAACUCAAAAGGUAUAACUAAGUAAGUUGCUUUUGCGAGUUUUUGUUUUGGCUUGCUACAAUAUCAUGGAAUAGUCCAUGUAGAGAAUGAAAUUUUGGUUUUUGACAUCAAGCUUUUAAUUAAACCCCAAAUAUAUCUUUAGCACAAAGAGAUCUCGAUUCUCAUAUAACAAAGAACUGAUAGAACAUUUAAGAUCGAUGCUUAGCAUAUAAUGAUGUUACACGCCAUUUAGGAAAUAUAGACAUUCUUUAGACGAUCUAAGUCACUUGCUAUAGCAGCGCAAUAAUUAGCCAACUAACAUGCGGAGUUCGUUAAUUUAAAGAAAAAAAAAAAAAGAGAACAUAAUUAAGCAUAUAUAUAUGGACAGGCUAAUUUAAUCAACACUUUAUAACAGACGCAACAAUUUUAUUCAGUAAUUACCUUUUCCAGGAAGACACCACACAAAGAUAGUAAAUAAAGAAAAACUCUUAUACAUAUCAAGAUAUCUUAUUAAGUAGAACUGAGUAAACAGACACUCACACAUUGAUAGGUAAUAACAGUACCCAUCUUUUUAUUUAAAUAAGCAUAACACAAAAGAGUAAUAUUGCUUGCAUUUAACCGGUUUGAUCAAUAUUUCUCCCAUAUUGAGGGACAGUAAGAAGAUCGAGAUUGACAUCAUUCGCAAUGUUAUCAUCAACAAUACUGGCAGCAACAUAACCCUCCAGCCAAUCAUCAUUACCUGUAAAUUUUAUAUUAAAAAUAUAUUAACAAAUGCAUGUAUUAAAAUAAGAAUUAUGAAUGAUAUUCAAAUGAAAGUAAAGCUGGCCUAAAAACCUGCGCUGGUUGUUUCCAUAUUCUUCAUAUCUGGAAAGAUCUCUGCUUCCGGAAUCAAAACUUAAAGAGUAAUUCAGUUGCUUUUGCGAGUUCUUGCUUCUGGUUUGAUAUAGCAUACAUGCAUGUAUUUAUAGAUAAAGCAGUAGCCGACUGUGCCAACAUGCGGAGUUCGUUAAUUUAAAGAAAAAAAAAAAAAGAGAACAUAAUUAAGCAUAUAUAUAUGGACAGGCUAAUUUAAUCAACACUUUAUAACAGACGCAACAAUUUUAUUCAGUAAUUACCUUUUCCAGGAAGACACCACACAAAGAUAGUAAAUAAAGAAAAACUCUUAUACAUAUCAAGAUAUCUUAUUAAGUAGAACUGAGUAAACAGACACUCACACAUUGAUAGGUAAUAACAGUACCCAUCUUUUUAUUUAAAUAAGCAUAACACAAAAGAGUAAUAUUGCUUGUAUUUAACCGGUUUGAUCAAUAUUUCUCCCAUAUUGAGGGACAGUAAGAAGAUCGAGAUUGACAUCAUUCGCAAUGUUAUCAUCAACAAUACUGGCAGCAACAUAACCCUCCAGCCAAUCAUCAUUACCUG
rnacentral:lncRNA from 1 species